rnacentral:rRNA from 1 species
UACGGAGGGGUGCAAGCGUUUAUCCGGAUUCACUGGGUUUAAAGGGGUGCGUAGGUGGGUUGGUAAGUCAGUGGUGAAAAUUCUCCAGGCUUAACUUGGAAACUGCCAUUGAUACUAUCAAUCUUGAAUACCGUGGAGGUCAGCGGAAUAUGUCAUGUAGCGGUGAAAUGCUUGAUAUGACAUAGAACACCAAUUGCGAAGCAGCUGGCUACACGAAUAUUGACACUGAUGCGCGAAAAGCAUUGGGGAGCGAACGGG